GGAGUUGUGGCUCAGAGGUAGAGCACUCACCUACCAUGUAAGAGGCACUUGGUUCAAUCCUCAGCACCA
rnacentral:tRNA from 1 species